ensembl:snRNA U6 U6 spliceosomal RNA
GUGCCGGCUUCAGCAGCACAUAUACUAAAAUUGGAAUGAUAUGGAGAAUAUUAGCAUGGCCCUUGUGCAAAAUGAUAUGCAUAUUUGGAUGCAUUCUAAACUUUG